rnacentral:misc_RNA from 1 species
UCCGAGUUGACCCCGGCAGUCUCCUGCGAGUCCCCGCCAUUACGCGCUGGCAACACAGGACAAGGGUUGCGCUCGUUGCGGGACUUAACCCAACAUCUCACGACACGAGCUGACGACAGCCAUGCACCACCUGUGAUGGUGUCCCGAAGGAAGGACGUGUUUCCACGCCUGUCACCAACAUGUCAAGUCCAGGUAAGGUUCUUCGCGUUGCAUUGAAUUAAACCACAUACUCCACCGCUUGUGCGGGCCCCCGUCAAUUCCUUUGAGUUUCAGUCUUGCGACCGUACUCCCCAGGCGGCGAACUUAACGCGUUAGCUUCGAUACUGCGUGCCAAAUUGCACCCAACAUCCAGUUCGCAUCGUUUAGGGCGUGGACUAC